rnacentral:rRNA from 1 species
UACGAAGGGAGCUAGCGUUGUUCGGAAUCACUGGGCGUAAAGCGCACGUAGGCGGAUUUGUCAGUCAGGGGUGAAAUCCCGGGGCUCAACCUCGGAACUGCCUUUGAUACAGCAAGUCUUGAGUUCGAGAGAGGUGGGUGGAAUUCCUAGUGUAGAGGUGAAAUUCGUAGAUAUUAGGAAGAACACCGGUGGCGAAGGCGGCUACCUGGACCGGUACUGACGCUGAGGCGCGAAAGCUAGGGUAGCAAACAGG